rnacentral:rRNA from 1 species
CCUACGGGAGGCAGCAGUGAGGAAUAUUGGUCAAUGGGCGAUAGCCUGAACCAGCCAAGUAGCGUGAAGGAUGACGGCCCUAUGGGUUGUAAACUUCUUUUAUAUGGGAGUAAAGUGCAGUAUGUAUACUGCUUUGCAUGUACCUUAUGAAUAAGGAUCGGCUAACUCCGGGCCAGCAGCCGCGGUAAUACGGAGGAUCCGAGCGUUAUCCGGAUUUAUUGGGUUUAAAGGGAGCGUAGGCGGGUUGUUAAGUCAGUUGUGAAAGUUUGCGGCUCAACCGUAAAAUUGCAGUUGAUACUGGCAGCCUUGAGUACAGUAGAGGUAGGCGGAAUUCGUGGUGUAGCGGUGAAAUGCUUAGAUAUCACGAAGAACUCCGAUUGCGAAGGCAGUUUGCUGGACUGUAACUGACGCUGAUGCUCGAAAGUGUGGGUAUCAAACAGGAUUAGAUACCCUAGUAGUC